rnacentral:rRNA from 1 species
AUUGAACGCUGGCGGCAUGCCUUACACAUGCAAGUCGAACGGGAGCACGGGUGCUUGCACCUGGUGGCGAGUGGCGAACGGGUGAGUAAUACAUCGGAACGUACCUUAUCGUGGGGGAUAACGCAGCGAAAGUUGCGCUAAUACCGCAUACGCCCUGAGGGGGAAAGCGGGGGACCGUAAGGCCUCGCGCGAUUAGAGCGGCCGAUGUCUGAUUAGCUUGUUGGUGAGGUAAAAGCUCACCAAGGCGAUGAUCAGUAGCUGGUCUGAGAGGACGAGCAGCCACACUGGGACUGAGACACGGCCCAGACUCCUACGGGAGGCAGCAGUGGGGAAUUUUGGACAAUGGGGGCAACCCUGAUCCAGCAAUGCCGCGUGAGUGAAGAAGGCCUUCGGGUUGUAAAGCUCUUUUGUCAGGGAAGAAACAGCAGCUCUAACACAGUCUGCGAAUGACGGUACCUGAAGAAUAAGCACCGGCUAACUACGUGCCAGCCGCCGCCGCGG